UACGAAGGGGGCUAGCGUUGCUCGGAAUUACUGGGCGUAAAGCGCACGUAGGCGGCUUUCUAAGUCGGAGGUGAAAUCCUGGAGCUCAACUCCAGAACUGCCUUCGAUACUGGAGAGCUUGAGUCCGGGAGAGGUGAGUGGAACUGCGAGUGUAGAGGUGAAAUUCGUAGAUAUUCGCAAGAACACCAGUGGCGAAGGCGGCUCACUGGCCCGGUACUGACGCUGAGGUGCGAAAGCGUGGGGAGCAAACGGG
rnacentral:rRNA from 1 species